rnacentral:lncRNA from 1 species
AUAGAAGUGAAAAAUAUAUGAUGAGGAUCAUGGUACUCAAUAUUGUACGGAAAAUUCUGUUAACGGCGCAGGUUGAGUAGAAUGGACGCUUCACAUCUUGCAGCAGCAGCACAUCUCAAAAAUAUUCAAGAAAACUUUGCAAGAUGUCUUUAUAUGUACUUCAAAGGAGAUGCGAUUAUGACGAAGGCGUUCGUGGAGCUGAAUCACCAAGACACGACACUAUUAAAGACUGCAUAUACGGUUUUGCUUACAAUAUUUUGCAGAUUUUUGAAAAUGAAUUUAUUGUUGCAUUAUUAUUUUUUUGAAUGCUAUAUAAACCAUGUAAAUGAUCUAUGUAAAAUAUUGGAAUAAAGACUGAACC